rnacentral:rRNA from 1 species
AUACGUAGGGUGCAAGCGUUAUCCGGAUUUACUGGGUGUAAAGGGCGAGUAGACGGCGAUGCAAGUCAGAUGUGAAAUGCUAGGGCUUAACCUUAGAACUGCAUCUGAAACUGUAUUGCUAGAGUGCAGGAGAGGUAAACGGAAUUCCUAGUGUAGCGGUGAAAUGCGUAGAUAUUAGGAGGAACAUCAGUGGCGAAGGCGGUUUACUGGACUGUAACUGACGUUGAGGCGCGAAAGCGUGGGGAGC